rnacentral:lncRNA from 1 species
UUUCCCCCAUCCCCAAUCCCCGCAGAUCCCACGGAGAAUCAGAGAUCCAUAUAGAUCAAAUCUUUAAAAAAAAAUUAUACUUUUCGAUCAAAACUAUAACACUGGUACUUUGUUAUUAUUAUUUUAAAAACAUAUUUUAUAUUUUUUUUAAUAAAUAAAAACACAUCUUGCAUCAAAAACAAAAAAAUAAAAAAGCAUUUGCUAUUACAGAAGCAU